AGAAAUCUGGAAGCGAUAAAAGAAAGACUCAGCGACGGCAAUACACGCAACGUUAACGGAAAAGCAAUGGCAGCCUUGCACGUGCCUCACACAGAAGUGAGUUCACGGAACCGGCAGCCCCAGCGUUCAAGGGCGGGCUCAAGAUGUCAAUUUCAGCGUGAAAAUAGACGGAAAGGAUCAAGGAUUACAAGCAGUACACUGUGUUCUUAUCCUCUUUCUCGCAUCCUUCUCAUCUGGUACGUCCCAGCAGCUGCCAAAUUCGUCCUUCACGUCGAGCUGGAGUAAUCUCCGCUAUUCGCUCUUCCUAGGGACGAAAUCGAACAGUUGCACUCAUUUUCCCGUUUGAAGGCUGCGAUUUGGUACAACGUACAACCAGCUUUCUUUCGUCCUUAAGGAAAUUUUGAAUUUGGAAGGUUGAUUUUGGUUUUUCCCUUCUUACCCUUUUCCCCCCAAAACCGAAACCCAUUUCUUCCACUAUAUAUGCUCGUCUUCUGUUCUAAAAAAGGGGAUUUUUUUGAGAGGUGUAGAAUUGAAAAGGAAAAAAGAGAAAUCUGAAAAUCAGGUUACAAAUUCAUAUCAAAAUACCUUUGGGAAAGGAGAGGCAAUAGUGUUAGCGUUUUGAAGCGAUAUUCUGCUUAAAGUUUCCAACCCGUCGUUCAAAUUCGAGUCUUAGUGUCGGAGUUCGCUGCUUGUUUCCUUGCUCGAGUUCUCAGUUCUGCUGCCCAAAAGAAGAGUGUAAGUUGUUAUGACUAGGGGAUGUCUCUGAAAGUGAAAGGCUUGAUAGAUGUUUCCCAAGCUCAAGAAAAGGACCCUUAAUAUUCAAGGAUUUCCUAUGUCAAGUUCUUAUUCAACUUUAUGUAAUAGCUUACAUAUUAUUUUAUGUUGUUAAGGGUUGUGUCCCUAUUCUACUCUAUUGUUUUUUAGUCUAAGAUUGCAAAAGAGACAUAGAGUCUAACUAUGUAUUAUGAUAUUUUAGUAUAUAUGAAGCGAUGUUCUAGCA